rnacentral:lncRNA from 1 species
GUUGUGGUAUGUUUCUUCUGUACCCAUUUAUUUGAGGAUUAAUAGCAUGAAGGGAUGUUGAAUUUCAUCGAAUGCUUUUUCAGUUUCAGUUGACAUGAUCAUACUGUUUUUGUCAUUUAUUUAGUUGAUAUGAUGCAUCACAUUGUAUGUUGAGUGACCCUUGCAUCCCAGGGAUACAUUCCACUUGAUCAUGAUGAAUUAUCUUUUUAAUGUAUUACUGAAUUUGAUUCACUGGUAUUCCGUUGAGGAUUUUUGCAUCAAUAUUAGAGAUACUGGCCUGUAGUUUCCUUCUUUGAUGCCUUUGUCUGAUUUUGGUAUCACAGUAAUAAUGGUCUCAUAGAAUAAGUUUGGAAGUAUUCCCUCCUGUUUUUCAAAAUAGUUUGAGUAGGAUUCGUACGAGGUCUUUAAAUUGUUUGGUGUGAAGCCAUCAGCAGUGAAGACAUCAGUUCCUGGGCUUUUCUUUACUGGGAGACUUUUUCUGAUGGCUUCAAUCUCAUUACUUGUUACCAAUCUGUUCUGGUCUUGGAUAUUUUCAUUAUUCAACCUAAGUAGGUUUUAUGCAUCUAGGAAUUUGCCAAUUUCUACUAGGCUUUCCAAUUUAUUGGCAUGUAAUAGCCAGUUAUGAUCCUUUGAAUUUCUGAAGUUAUUAGUUGUAGUGUCUCCUUUUUUUUAAUCUGUUGAUUUUAUUUGAAUCUUGUCUCUUUUUUCUUAGUUAGCCUGGUUAAAAGUUUGUCAAUUUUGUUUAGCUUUCCAGAAAACCAACUUUUCAUUUAAUCUUGUGUGUUUCUUAUUUCAAUUUUAUUUCUGCUACGAUCUUAGUUAUUUUCUUAAUUUCGGUUUAGUUUGUUCUUACUUUACUAGUUCUUUAAGAUGUAUUGUUUAUUUGAAGUUUUUCUUUUGUUUGGAUGGUAGGCACUUAUAGUGUAAAUCUCUGCCUUUGUACUGUUUUCUGCGUAACAAGUUUUGGUAUACUGUGUUUUCAUUACCCUUUGUUUCAUGAAAUUUUUGAAUUUCUGUCUUAGUAUCUUCAUUGACCCGCUAGUCAUUUAUUCAGGAGGGUAGUGUUUAACUUCCAUGUGAUUGUAUUGUUUCCAAAAUUACUCUUCUUACUGAUACCUAGUUUUAUUCCUUUGUAGUCAAAGAAGAUGGCCAGGGAGACAGCAGCGUGGUCAGAGUGGUAGGAGCUGGCCAUCGGUGAGAGCUGCUCCAUGCCUGGCUGCUGGGUUCUAGAGCUUGUGGACCACUGGCUUGCCUCACUGUGGUUGGUGGUGGCGGUGACAGAGUGUGCAGCACGACCAGAGUGGCUUUUCUGGCUUUGCCCGCCCAGCUGCUCCAUGCCAGGAGGAGGAGGAGACACCUAGAGCCUGCGACACCAUGGCUCGCCUCGCUGCAGCCGAGCAUGGUGGUUCACACCUGUAAUCUCAGCACAUUGGGAGGCCGAGGCGGGUGGAUCAUGAGGUCAAGAGAUCGAGACAAUCCUGGCCAACAUGGUGAAACCCCAUCUCUACUAAAAAUACAAAAAAUUAGCCGGGUGUGGUGCUGCGUGCCUGUAGUCCCAGCUACUGGAGAGGCUGAGGCAGGAGAAUUGCUUGAACCCAGGAGGCAAAGGUUGCAGCAAGCUGAGAUCGCACCACUGCACUCCAGCCUGGUGAUAGACCGAGACUCCAUCUCAAAAAAACAAAAAAAAAAUUAAAUUACUUUGUAUACAUAAAGUUCUAAUUUUUUAAAAAAUUGUAAAAUAUCCUAUACGUUCAUUAGUAUUACUUAUUUGUUUUUAUCACUCCAUCAAUGUGAGGCAUAAAUAAAAU